rnacentral:rRNA from 1 species
CACGUAGGGUGCAAGCGUUGUCCGGAAUCAUUGGGCGUAAAGAGCUCGUAGGCGGCUUAGUAAGUCGGGUGUGAAAACCCCAGGCUCAACCUGGGGACGCCACCCGAUACUGCUAUAGCUAGAGUCCAGUAGGGGAGUGUGGAAUUCCCAGUGUAGCGGUGAAAUGUGUUGAUAUUGGAAGGAACGCCAGUGGCGAAAGCGACACACUGGGUCUCAACUGACGCUGAGGCACGAAAGCCAGGGGAGCAAACGGG